UUAUUGUACGAAUCGUUUUCGAAUUUCGAACUGCGGAAUGCUGGAAAAUGAUCGAAAUUCGAAAAAAUGAAGGAGUUACAACGUUUUUGACCUUGAAAAUUACCUUGAAUUUUUGCGCCAAAAAAGAUUUGGUUUUUGCAAGGUUUUUUAUAGAAAACUUUACACUAUUCCUUCAUGUAGUACCUCUACGGAAAGAGAUUUUCCUCACGAAUUCAACGGUGUCCUUAGAAUUUUGAAAUUCACAAAACUAAA
rnacentral:sRNA from 1 species